UAGACUCUAUGGAGGACAAGAUGCGGGAGUCGCGGCUGUUUCCAAUAUCCGGGACUAUGUGAUUUUGUUCCCCUCAGGUAUCAUAUUACCCGUUGCUAUUAUUUGAUACUACUUAUCCUAUAUCUCUUCCUUUUUUUCUUCCAUCUUUCUUCCUUCCUUGCUUCCCUCCUCCUCUUGUCUUUUCUGAGACGUGGGUCUAUUGGAAACAGCCUCUUUACCUGCAUUAGGUAGGGGUAAGGUCUGCAUACAGACUACCCUCUCCAGACCCCACAUAUUUGGUCAAACCGGGUUUGUUGUUGUUUUAAUCUUGGAUCAGAUGUUUGCUCACCCUUGUAAUAGUUGACCAAAUUUGUCAGCACUUCUGCUAUAUCCCAUCUCCUCCAUCUAGCAGCUACCAAUCUCCCAAAGAUUCUCUCAAUUAUUAUGCUUACCUGAAUUGAAUUCCCUCUCAAGCUCACUCUAAUAGCUAUGAAACGGCUAGUCUCCUGAUUAAUCCACGAGGGACGUGCUCAUCCCGCUUGGGAACUUAUCAUCUCCCCCUAAACCACCGCUGGUGGAACCGCAGCAGCUGUGGGGGCGAUGGAUGAGCUUGGAAGGAGGUGGAGGGGAGCUGAGGAAGCAUCAACCAUUGGGUCCUAGAUUUUUGCUUUGAGCUUUUGUCAAACCCCUACAAAAUAAGACUGCAGUUCUGACAAUGUCAUAUUGUCCUUAAUUUUCAUGAUUUUGCGUCUUCAUGUCCACGCCUGCGCCAAAGUACCCCCUUUGCUGUGUGUUUACUUCUCCUUCGCCUUCUGCCAAAAUUAAAUGACAACUGAGUGAACCAGAGGAUUUUACUUAAGAGUUUUAAGCGUAAGAAAUUUGGCUGCCAAAACUCUUGAUCCCCGUUUUUGUGCAAUAAGAUACCAAAGCACAUAGAAAUCACACUUGGUAACAACUAGCUGGAGCAGUGGGUGCCCUAUGGUUUACUAAGUUUCUUCUUCCUACGAGUACUCUGUUAUUUCUAAUGUAUCGUAUUUUUUCAUGUAAAGCAGGAGGCAGCAGCAUUAGCAGCAGCCGAAGUUGCUUUUUUACUGCAGGCAGGGCAACAAAGAGGCUUGCAUGUCGCAAUAGCACCAAGACCUGCUCCUGCAUCCGAGCCUUCAGCAGCAUCCCAUCAGGCAACAACUCAUGUGUCAAUGCCAACCGGGCAGGCAGAAGCUCCUCGUCCUGAGAUAGUAUAAAUGGCUUUGCGUUGCGCUAGAUUGUCCGAGACGCCAUCUCUAUACAAAAACAUUACAUUCGCUUUGUUACAUUGCUAAAAGAUAGUUACCGAUAAUCGAAUGUUUUUACUGUUUGUUGGAUUAGAUGGGGUUGAGGAAAAAUAUUUCCUUUUUCCUUUUCCAAUUUGCCAGCUUACAAUUUCAAGUUUGGAGAGAAGGUUGAAGCUCUAACUUUUUCCCUUUCCUUCACUAUGACAUUAUUUUUGUACAUGCCCACCCCC
rnacentral:lncRNA from 1 species